rnacentral:lncRNA from 1 species
CUUUCCAAGACUCCCUCUCAUUAUUUCAGUGAUUGAAAUUUAAGUAGUUUACAUUCUUAACUUUGAAAUAAAAUUGGAAGGGGGCGUAGUGGAUUGAUAACUGGUCAGCUUAUAACCCCCAGCUGAACUGAGUGAGCAUGGCGCUGGGUGUGGGAAGCUCACCUGGAGACUGUUGCCAUCAGCAUAAGAAGCAGAACUGGAGAAGAAGUGAGAGACUGUUGGGAGCAGAAAAAGUCAGUUGGGAGCUGGUAGAUGCUGUAAAGAGCUGUUGGUUCUGUUGGAGCAGUUGGCGGUUUUCAUUCUCUGAGGAGCUCGGGUCCUUGUUGGCACUGAGAAUAGCUUCAGUUCACUUUGGGGGAACUGCAGUUCUCGUGGGAAAAUACAUAGAUGCAAGAGGUUGGUUGCCUGUAUCAUCUCCACCUCCCCAUUCAUCACUUAAUGGAUGCUGUCAGUGCUCUGCACCAAAUUCGGUACUUCUACAAAUCAAAACCCCUAGUAAGGUAUUACUCAUUCAGAAACUUCACUGGAAAACUGUCUUCCUAAUUAGA